UACGUAGGUGGCAAGCGUUUGUCCGGAUUUACUGGGCGUAAAGGGCGUGCAGGCGGUCUGUUAAGUCUAGGGUGAAAGCUCCCGGCUCAACUGGGAGAGGUCCUUGGAUACUGGCGGACUUGAGGGAGGCAGAGGAAAGUGGAAUUCCCGGUGUAGUGGUGAUAUGCGUAGAUAUCGGGAGGAACACCAGUGGCGAAGGCGGCUUUCUGGGCCUUACCUGACGCUGAGACGCGAAAGCGUGGGGAGCGAACCGG
rnacentral:rRNA from 1 species